GACGAACGCUGGCGGCGUGCUUAACACAUGCAAGUCGAACGGAAAGGCCCUUCUUUUGUGGGGUGCUCGAGUGGCGAACGUGUUAGUAACACGUUAGUAACCUGCCCUUGACUUUGGUAUAACUUCAGUAAACUGGGGCUAAUACCGGAUAGGAGCUCCUGCUGCAUGGUGGGGGUUGGAACGUUUCGGCGGUUGGGGAUGGACUCGCGGCUUAUCAGCUUGUUGGUGGGGUAGUGGAUUACCAAGGCUUUGACGGGUAGCCGGCCUGAGAGGGUGACCGGCCACAUUGGGAAUGAGAUAAGGCCAAGACUCCUAAGGGAGGCAGCAGUGGGGAAUAUUGCACAAUGGGCGGAAGACGGAUGCAGCAACGCCGCGUGCGGGAUGACGGCCUUCGGGUUGUAAACCGCGUGCGCCGGUGACGAAGCGUGAGUGACGGUAAUGGGUAAAGAAGCACCGGCUAACUACGUG
rnacentral:rRNA from 1 species